GACGAACGCUGGCGGCGUGCUUAACACAUGCAAGUCGAACGGAAAGGCCCUGCUUUUGUGGGGUGCUCGAGUGGCGAACGGGUGAGUAACACGUGAGUAACCUGCCCUUGACUUUGGGAUAACUUCAGGAAACUGGGGCUAAUACCGGAUAGGAGCUCCUGCUGCAUGGUGGGGGUUGGAAAGUUUCGGCGGUUGGGGAUGGACUCGCGGCUUAUCAGCUUGUUGGUGGGGUAGUGGCUUACCAAGGCUUUGACGGGUAGCCGGCCUGAGAGGGUGACCGGCUACAUUGGGACUGAGAUACGGCCCAGACUCCUACGGGAGGCAGCAGUGGGGAUUAUUGCACAAUGGGCGGAAGCCUGAUGCAGCAACGCCGCGUGCGGGAUGACGGCCUUCGGGUUGUAAACCGCUUUCGCCUGUGACGAAGCGUGAGUGACGGUAAUGGGUAAAGAAGCACCGGCUAACUACGU
rnacentral:rRNA from 1 species